rnacentral:rRNA from 1 species
GAUGAACGCUGGCGGCGUGCCUAACACAUGCAAGUCGAACGAGGCCCUUUGUAUUCGUACGAAGGUGUCCUAGUGGCGAACGGGUGAGUAACACGUUGGUGACCUGCCCCAAAGUGGGGGACAACUCCGGGAAACUGGAGCUAAUACCCCAUGUGCUCCAGGGAUUUAGAUACCCCUGGUGGAAAGGAGUAAUCCGCUUUGGGAGGGCCUGCGGCCCAUCAGCUAGUUGGUAGGGUAACGGCCUACCAAGGCUACGACGGGUAGGGGGCCUGAGAGGGUGGCCCCCCACACUGGCACUGAAACACGGGCCAGACACCUACGGGUGGCAGCAGUGGGGAAUAUUGCCCAAUGGACGAAAGUCUGAGGCAGCAACGCCGCGUGCGCGAUGAAGGCCUUCGGGUUGUAAAGCGCUUUUCUGGGGGAAGAGGAAGGACGGUACCCCAGGAAUAAGUCUCGGCUAACUACGUG